ACGUCAGUAGCUCUGGUAUAGCUUCCUCCAUAGGUAUCAAUCAAUAAUGGUUUACUCGAACACUUAGUUUUUCUGUUACUAUGUGUCAAUUUCUUUCUGUCAUGUAACUCCUAAUAUCACAUGUUGGGAGUUAGUGAAUACUCGUAUCAUUUUAAUGUAAUGUACAUUCCUAGCAUACCCCUUCUGUCUUCUAGCAUCUGGUGACUGAACUGGGCUGCUAUCAACCUAUUAAGUCGCAUCGGAUAUAAGGCUUUAAAAAAUGUUCCAGCUUCAGGAUUGAGUUGCUCUUGCCAAAACCUUCGGCGAAUUCUUUUUUGGGAGGUUGAGGUGAAUUUCCAAGUCAUGGCUCACAACUGUCUUUGGCCUUUUUGCUCUCCAAGUCUGUUGUACAUGGGAGAUACGAAAUGACCCUACUACAUAUAGUUGGUACUAUUGACGGAAUGGAUAGGUGUGACAUUUACUGUGGCAAGUUGGUAUUCACUGAAGAGAAUGUCAUUAGUACCAGAAGCUUACUACUGGCAUUAAUUAUCAAUCUUUUGUUCUCUCCAUGCA